rnacentral:rRNA from 1 species
UACGGGGGGGGCAAGCGUUGUUCGGAAUUACUGGGCGUAAAGGGCUCGUAGGCGGCCAACUAAGUCGGAUGUGAAAUCCCCAGGCUUAACCUGGGAACUGCAUCCGAUACUGGAUGGCUUGAAUUCGGGAGAGGGAUGCAGAAUUCCAGGUGUAGCGGUGAAAUGCGUAGAUAUCUGGAGGAAUACCGGUGGCGAAGGCGGCAUCCUGGACCGAGAUUGACGCUGAUGAGCGAAAGCAUGGGUAGCAAACAGG